rnacentral:rRNA from 1 species
CUCACAUAUUAAUAAGGCGGAGGAAAUGAUUA